GCUUAUCACCAUUCCAGAUUGAAUAUACCCGAUCUCGUCUGAUCUCGGAAGUGAAGCAAUCUCGGGCUUGGUUAGUACUUGGAG
rnacentral:rRNA from 1 species